rnacentral:rRNA from 1 species
GACGAACGCUGGCGGCGUGCUUAACACAUGCAAGUCGAGCGGAAAGGCCCUUUCGGGGGUACUCGAGCGGCGAACGGGUGAGUAACACGUGAGUAAUCUACCCUUGGCUUUGGGAUAACCACCGGAAACGGUGGCUAAUACCGGAUAUGACGGGCUCCGGCAUCGGGGUUCGUGGAAAGUUUUUUCGGCCAGGGAUGUGCUCGCGGCCUAUCAGCUUGUUGGUGGGUAAUGGCCUACCAAGGCCUCGACGGGUAGCCGGCCUGAGAGGGUGACCGGCCACACUGGGACUGAGACACGGCCCAGACUCCUACGGGAGGCAGCAGUGGGGAAUAUUGGACAAUGGGCGAAGCCUGAUCCAGCAACGCCGCGUGAGGGAUGACGGCCUUGGU